rnacentral:rRNA from 1 species
GAACGGUAGAGUAGCAAUACUCGAGAGUGGCGAACGGGUGGGUAAUAUAUCGGAACGUGCCCAGUCGUGGGGGAUAACGUAAAGAAAUUUACGCUAAUACCGCAUACGAUCUAAGGAUGAAAGCGGGGGACUCGCAAGAGCCUCGCGCGAUUGGAGCGGCUGAUAUCAAAUUAGGUUGUUGGUGAGGUAAAAGCUCACCAAGCCGACGAUCUGUAGCUGGUUUGAGAGAACGACCAGCCACACUGGGACUGAGACACGGCCCAAACUCCUACGGGAGGCAGCAGUGGGGAAUUUUGGACAAUGGGCGAAAGCCUGAUCCAGCAAUGCCGCGUGCGGGAAGAAGGCCUUCGGGUUGUAAACUGCUUUUGUACGGAACGAAACGGUCUGCUUUAAUACAGCGGGCUAAUGACGGUACCGUAAGAAUAAGCACCGGCUAACUACGUGCCAGCAGCCGCGGUAAUACGUAGGGUGCGAGCGUUAAUCGGAAUUACUGGGCGUAAAGCGUGCGCAGGCGGUUAUAUAAGACAGUUGUGAAAUCCCCGGGCUCAACCUGGGAAUUGCAUCUGUGACUGUAUAGCUAGAGUACGGUAGAGGGGGAUGGAAUUCCGCGUGUAGCAGUGAAAUGCGUAGAUAUGCGGAGGAACACCGAUGGCGAAGGCAAUCCCCUGGACCUGUACUGACGCUCAUGCACGAAAGCGUGGGGAGCAAACAGGAUUAGAU